rnacentral:rRNA from 1 species
UACGAACGCUGGCGGCAUGCCUAAUACAUGCAAGUCGAGCGAACAGAUGAAGUGCUUGCACUUCUGACGUUAGCGGCGAACGGGUGAGUAACACGUAAGGAAUCUACCUAUAAGCGGGGGAUAACAUUCGGAAACGGGUGCUAAUACCGCAUAAUAUCUUCUUCCGCAUGGAGGAAGAUUGAAAGACGGCUCUGCUGUCACUUAUAGAUGACCUUGCGGUGCAUUAGUUAGUUGGUGGGGUAACGGCCUACCAAGACGAUGAUGCAUAGCCGACCUGAGAGGGUGAUCGGCCACAGUGGGACUGAGACACGGCCCAAACUCCUACGGGAGGCAGCAGUAGGGAAUCUUCCGCAAUGGGCGAAAGCCUGACGGAGCAAUGCCGCGUGAGUGAAGAAGGCCUUCGGGUCGUAAAACUCUGUUAUAAGAGAAGAACAAAUUGUAGAGUAACUGCUACAGUCUUGACGGUAUCUUAUCAGAAAGCCACGGCUAACUACGUGCCAGCCGCCGCAGUAA